GUAGUUCAAACCUUGCUUAGGUUAGAAUUGCAACGACACUGAGUAGAUUAGCAUGGUCUGUGCCCAAGGAUGAUUUGCAUUGAUCGAGUAAUGGUCCAAAUUUGU
rnacentral:snRNA from 1 species